UUUUUUUUUUUUUUUUUUUUUUGGCUGCAUCUAUGGCAUGUGUAAGUUCCCAGGCCAAGGAUCAAACCCACAUCACCGCAGCAACUCAAGCCACAGCAGUGACAAUGCCAAAUCCUUAACCCACUGAGCCACCAGGGAACUCCAUCCUUCUUCAUGCACAUAAUAAUGGGGACACUUGGAGCUUAACAAAACAAGCUGGAAGACUUAAUGCUCAAAUAGCCAAGUGAAAAUAAAGAAAAAAGCCUAGAUCUUUGCUGACAUCACAGAGCAGCUAAACCAACUCCAGCAGAUGCUUACCUCUGUACUUAUUAUGUGAGCAAAAUAUAUUAUUUAUUUAAGACACUAAGAGUCAGAUGUCUGUUACUUAUAGGUACAUAUAUUACUGACAUUGCUUAGUCAGGAAAAAUGGAAGAAAGGCAGGAGAAUAAACUCAAAAGGCUGUGUGUCAUGUACCACUGUGCAGAGGAAGCAGUCAAAAACAAAAUGCCCUUCUAAAACCUGGAUCAAAUGGCAUUUUUUUUUUUUGUUUUGUGGGUUUUUUUUUUUUUGGGGGGGGGGAGCAUGGUGUACAGUGGCAUGAUGUGGGAUCUCAGUUCCCAGACCAGGGAUUGAAAUCGGGGCUGCAGCAGUGAAAGCACCAAGUUCUAACGACCAGAGAACUCCCCAGAUGACAUUUUGUUGUUCUUGUUUUGGAUUUUUUUGAUUCCUCCCUCAGCUUGGGAGAGUUCCAGGCCCAGGGAUGGAAUGAACACUGCUGCAGAGGCAAUGUGGAAUCCUUAACUGGCUGUGCCAUGAGGGAUCUCCCCCAAAUGGCAUUUUUGUUUUUUGGGGGGUUUUUUUUGUCUUUUAGUUUAUUUUAUUUUUAGGGCCAUACCUGCGGCCUGUGGAGGUUCCCAGAAUAGGGAUCAAAUCAGAGCUGUAGCCUGUGGCCUACAACACAGCCACAGCAACGCCAGAUCCAAGCAGCAUCUGAGACCUACACCACAGCUCACAGCAACGCCGGAUCCUUAACCCACUGAUCGAGGCCAGGGAUCAAACCUUUGUCCUCACAGAUGCUAGCCAGAUCCUUUUCCGCUGAGCCACGAUGGGAACUCCCCCUAAAUGGCAUUUUUAACAAUGCAAAAGAGGUAACAGUUUUAUUAACAAAAGCUGAAAUGAAGAAUCCCAGCAACGUAAGUAUUCUAUAGUGAUUUAAGGCCUAAAAAGGUCAGGACAUCCUCUGAUCAGAUGGGUUGCAAUGGAAUGUAAUCUUUGGUGACGACAACAAUGUCCCCUCAAGAGCAUAUAUUAUUGCCAAUUUUCCAAUCCAAAACCAUAUAUAAGAAUGCUGUAACUGAAACACAGAAGUUAAACAUAAGACAUUUAAGUAGUAAUCUCCCUUCUCUCUCAAAGAUAAAUGGGCCCAUUAACCCUGGAUGCUAACAGAAAGCUUUCUUUCUCUGGCAUUCUGUUUGACCAUAUUUUUUUCAAGCUGUUCACAAGGAAAUCGGCAUGGAAAAAAUAAUUUAGGAAGUUGGCUUCUGAGCAUCUACUUCACUGAAUUAAAGUGCAGUCAGGUUCAUAACUUUUAAAUGGGAACAUGAAACUCGUAUUAAAUACGCCUCCGUGAGGUCCUCUGCAAACAUGUGGGCGGGGCGGAAGGCAGUGGGGACAAAGAUGCACAAGACCCGCAGGCGCUCUUGGAGCUAAUCAUCUGGUUAGAGCAGGAAGAGAUCCUUGUGGACGUGAAAUGAAGUGUCUCAGUAAGAGUGCUAGACAGUAGAAGGAUGUCAUAAAACAGUGCACAAUUCAUUGCCAAAAAGACUGCUGCCGACGAGAACUGCUGUAGGAUUUCAGACAAGAAACAGAUACUUCCAGCUGAGGAAGACCUGGGGAGACUUUAUAGAGAAGCCAGGAACCCCAGCUCAGCCUCGAAAGAUACACAGAAACCUGUGGGAAAAGGAAACACAUUCAGAGCUUCUUAGAAAGGCUGGUUUACCAAAACAAACACACUAAAAAAGUGAGGAAGGUUCCAGGGUGUUUGGGUGACUGGCAUGGUCAAGGGCCUACGCAGACAACGCCAGGCUGUAGCUGAACAUUAGACUCUCUAAAGAAAGCAGCGGCAAAAAGGUAGAAGUAAUCCAAGAGUCCGUCAAUAGCCAACGUGAAUCAAAAAGUUAUAUUGGAGUUCCCAUCGUGGCUCAGUGGUUAACGAAUCCGACUAGGAACCAUGAGGUGGCGGGUUCGAUCCCUGGACUCGCUCAGUGGGUUGGGGAUCCGGUGUUGCUGUGAGCUGUGGUGUAGGUCGCAGACGCGGCUUGGAUCCCAAGUUGCUGUGGCUCCGGCGUGGGCCGGCAGCUAGAGCUCCGAUUGGACCCCUAGCCUGGGAACCUCCAUAUGCUGCAGCCCUAGAAAAGACCAAAAAAAAAAAAAAAAAAAAAANNNNNNNNNNNNNNNNNUAUAUAUAGUAUUGUAUAAUGGAAUAUUAUUCAGCUGUCAAAAGGAGGGAGAUUCUGACAUGUGCCACAGUAUGCCUAAACCUUGGAUACUAUACCAGGUGAAACAAGCCCGUCAGGGGAAAAAAAAUUUCUUGGAGUUCUCAUCAUGGCAGAAACGAAAUCAACUAGUAUCCAAGAGGAUGUGGGUUUGAUCCCCGGCCUUGCUCAGUGGGUUAAAGAAUCCGGCAUUGCCGUGAGCUGUGGUGUAGGUCACAGAAAUGGCUCAGAUCUUUUGUUGCUGUGGCUGUGGCAUAAGUGGCAGCUGCAGCUCUGAUCUGACCACUAGCCUGGGAACUUCCAUAUGCUGCGGGUGCGGCCCUAAAAAGCACAACAAAACAAAACAAAAAAACAAAUUCUGUGUGAUUCCACUUACGGGAGGUACCUCAAGUACUUGGGUUCAGAGACAGAAUGUAGAACACUGGCUGCCGGGGGCCGAGGGGAGAGAGGGAGCUGUUCACAAGCAUAGAGUUUCAGUUUUGUAAGUGGAAAGAGUUCUGCAGAUGGAUGGUGGUGAUGGGGACCCAAAAAUGUGCAUGUACUUGAUACCACUGAACUGUACACUUGAAAAUGGCUAAGGUGGUAAAUUGUAUAUUAUGUAUAUUUUACAUUGAAAAUGUAUUUAAAAACAGAAAGACCAGCAGCAGGCGAGUGAAGAUACAGACUAGCUUCAAGAGGCAGUUGGCCUCCAAAAAUCAGGGUAGCAUCUUUGUCAGUCUCCGGGUCUAUAAGACUCCUGGGCUCCAGCUAGUAAUUCUGCUACUGAGUGGGGGAGCAGGCGGUAGACAGAACUCCUCCCCAACUUUCUUUGGAAAUACUGAACACAAUUUAAUUUAAUGAAGGACCUUUAAAAAUAUCUGACCUUGGAAGUGGAGUAAGAGCCAGGCAUCUGCAGACACUCACUUCUGACCCCUGGCCUCUCCCCACUGCCCUUACUCAGAUGGAUGUGGACACUUCAGACAACUCAAUCCAGAGAAAAUAAACUGCAGGUCGCAGCUGCGUGGCCCCGGCAGGUGGAGUGUUAUUUAGCCUGAGAUUUGCAAAGUUGGACUUCAUCUAACUAACAGUUCUACUAUCUGGACAUCUCUGUCUUCUCUUAACUCUAAACAAGGAAGACUUGGAGAAUGCACUUGAUAUUUGGUUAGGCACCCAGUUACUAUUUGGAGAUUCAUACAGUCUCGGGAAUUAAUGGUUUUCGACCCCUCCAACAGUCCUGAGAGAAAAAUCGGGCUAGCUCGAAACCUUCCCAGAAUUCUUGGCCACUCUUCAUCUGGUCUAAACGGAAUAAGCUCUUUCCUCUAACGUGAUUCCAACUCCAGAAGGUCCUGGGCUCGGGGUUAUUUUGCUGGCUUCGGCUGAUGCUUGUCUCUCAUCACCAUGGUUCCCUGCCUCCCACAAAGCUCAAGGCAGCCCUCCUGGUUGAUGAUGCUGGGAGCUGCUACUUACUUUAAAAAACAGAGCCAAGUGAACUAGGAGCAUGACGACUUCUCAGCAGUGUCACACCUAGUCCUGCAUUCUCGGACUCUCCUGCAACAAUUUAACGUUUUAAAUCCUCAAGCGGAUAUAGAUGUUGGAAGGUCAAAACUUACGCCCAGCACACAGGAAGUUUAGAUUCCUAGUUGUACAGGCCUACAUUUUUAUUCAAGCUCUCUUCGCUUUUUAUUUUUAUGCUUUCCCCCUUACUCUGCUUCAUUUUUAAUUUAACAGAAAAUGGCUAAUAUCAUAGACCACUUACACUGCUUCUUUUGUAAUUUAAGAGGAAAUGGCUAAUAUCAGAGACCACUUUCACUGCUGGAUCUUGUUGGGCUUCAAUAGUUUUUAAGGACAGACUCUUUGAAAAAGAAGAAAGGCAUGAAAUGUGUCAGGGGAAUGGAGUUCCUAUCAUUUCACUCAGAGAUUUUUGCCUUUUAAAUGGAGUUCUCCUACCAGCAGUUCAGUGAAAGAUGGUUCCCUUAUUGUCAUUUAUUACCCAUGACAGGCAGCAACACUGCCUCGGAUUCAGUCUCCAUUCACCACAAUUAUCUAGUGGAGCCUGCGAGGCAACAGAAGGUUCAAAAUGCCUUCCUUCUGAAUGUUUUCCCAAAGGCAACAGUUCAAAGCAAACCUCUAUGAACUGGAACACUGACGUCUGCAGAGCUCUCCGGACAGAAGAUUCACUAUUGCUACAGAGACACCGGAAACGAAGACAUAAUUACCCUCCAGUCAGCCGGAAGUCGAGUUCAGCUGCUGGGUCUUUAUGUGGAGAUCGCCCCCACAUAAACAACCCAACCAGACUGUCAAAAGACAUGCUUCUUUCUUAGCAAGGAUCCUCCCUGUUAACCUCCUCCCAGCAAGGAAAAGGGAGAAAAAAAAAAAAAUGUUUUUUCAGUAAAACUCAAUGUAACAGAAUGGGACAAGAUAGUAUCAAAAUUAAAUUGGAUGCACUACCAUCAUCCCUCAGUAUCUUAGGGGAUUGGUUCCAGGACCUCCACGGAUACCCACAUCCACGGAUGCACAUAUCUCUUAAGUAAAAUGGCUCAGUAUUUGUAUAUAAUCUAUGAAUAUCCUCCUGUAUAUUUUAUUUUAUUUUUAUGGCCACACCCAUGGCACAUGGAAAUUCCCAGGCUAGGGACUGAAUCCGAGCUGCAGCCGCCUACACCACAGCUGUGGCAAUGCUGGAUCCUUUAACCCACUGUGUCUGACCAGGGAACGGAACCCUCCGCAGUGACCCAAGCCACUGCAGUUGGAUUCUUAACCCCCACUGCACCACAGCAGGAACUCCUCCUCUAUAUUUUAAAUUAUUUCCAGAUUACUUAUAAUAGCUAACACAAUGUACAUGCUGUAUAAUAGCUGUAAAUACAAUAUAAACACACUAUGUACAGCCAGACCUUGGCGAUACCAAGGGAUUUGGUUCCAGAUCACCAUAGUAAAACCAGUAUCACAAUAAACAAAGUCAAUAUGCAUUUUUGGGCUUCCAAGUAC
rnacentral:lncRNA from 1 species